UCGAGCGGAUGAGAGGAGCUUGCUCCUGAAUUCAGCGGCGGACGGGUGAGUAAUGCCUAGGAAUCUGCCUGGUAGUGGGGGACAACGUUUCGAAAGGAACGCUAAUACCGCAUACGUCCUACGGGAGAAAGCAGGGGACCUUCGGGCCUUGCGCUAUCAGAUGAGCCUAGGUCGGAUUAGCUAGUUGGUGAGGUAAUGGCUCACCAAGGCGACGAUCCGUAACUGGUCUGAGAGGAUGAUCAGUCACACUGGAACUGAGACACGGUCCAGACUCCUACGGGAGGCAGCAGUGGGGAAUAUUGGACAAUGGGCGAAAGCCUGAUCCAGCCAUGCCGCGUGUGUGAAGAAGGUCUUCGGAUUGUAAAGCACUUUAAGUUGGGAGGAAGGGUUGUAGAUUAAUACUCUGCAAUUUUGACGUUACCGACAGAAUAAGCACCGGCUAACUCUGUGCCAGCAGCCGCGGUAAUACAGAGGGUGCAAGCGUUAAUCGGAAUUACUGGGCGUAAAGCGCGCGUAG
rnacentral:rRNA from 1 species